CCCUUACGGGGAAAGAUUUAUCGCCGAAAGAUCGGCCCGCGUCUGAUUAGCUAGUUGGUGAGGUAACGGCUCACCAAGGCGACGAUCAGUAGCUGGUCUGAGAGGAUGAUCAGCCACAUUGGGACUGAGACACGGCCCAAACUCCUACGGGAGGCAGCAGUGGGGAAUAUUGGACAAUGGGGGGCAACCCCUGAUCCAGCCAUGCCGCGGUGAGUGAUGAAGGCCCUAGGGUUGUAAAGCUCUUUUGUGCGGGAAGAUAAUGACGGUACCGCAAGAAUAAGCCCCGGCUAACUUCGUGCCAGUUUUUUUUCGGUAAUACGAAGGGGGCUAGCGUUGCUCGGAAUCACUGGGCGUAAAGGGUGCGUAGGCGGGUCUUUAAGUCAGGGGUGAAAUCCUGGAGCUCAACUCCAGAACUGCCUUUGAUACUGAAGAUCUUGAGUUCGGGAGAGGUGAGUGGAACUGCGAGUGUAGAGGUGAAAUUCGUAGAUAUUCGCAAGAACACCAGUGGCGAAGGCGGCUCACUGGCCCGAUACUGACGCUGAGGCACGAAAGCGUGGGGAGCAAACAGGAUUAGAUACCCUGGUAGCCCACGCCGUAAACGAUGAAUGCCAGCCGUUAGUGGGGUUUACUCACUAGUGGGCGCAGCUAACGCUUUAAAGCAUUCCG
rnacentral:rRNA from 1 species